rnacentral:rRNA from 1 species
AACGAACGCUGGCGGCAUGCCUAACACAUGCAAGUCGAACGAGACCUUCGGGUCUCGUGGCGCACGGGUGCGUCACGCGUGGGAACCUGCCCUUAGGUUCGGCAUAACUCCCCGAAUGGGGUGCUAAUACCGGAUAAUGUCUUCGGACCAAAGAUUUAUCGCCUUUGGAUGGGCCCGCGUUGGAUUAGCUAGUUGGUAGGGUAAAAGCCUACCAAGGCGACGAUCCAUAGCUGGUCUGAGAGGAUGAUCAGCCACACUGGGACUGAGGCACGGCCCAGACUCCUACGGGAGGCAGCAGUGGGGAAUAUUGGACAAUGGGCGAAAGCCUGAUCCAGCAAUGCCGCGUGAGUGAUGAAGGCCUUAGGGUUGUAAAGCUCUUUUACCCGGGAUGAUAAUGACAGUACCGGGAGAAUAAGCUCCGGCUAACUCCGUG